UCGCGGGAGGUGUGCGCGCUCCAGAGCGCACCACCGGAGCCGCUCCCCGCAGGGAUGGCGGGGCCUGGGAGCUCGGAGGCCAUUCUACGUCCGGGCUCGGUCGCUCUCCAGCUGCAGGAGGCGCGCAGGGCCUGCGGCCCAGGGAAUUGUCUGCAGCGGCAGGUUCGAGUGCAGUAGUAAGUUCAUAGCUCACUGCAGCCUCAAACUCCUGGACUCAAGAGGUCACAUGGAAAAAGACAAAUGAGGAUGCCCCUAAUUAGAAUGGAUUCCCAGGAAGCAGACGAUCAGGGAGCAAUUACACCUAUAAGCUGUAGAUAUUUACCCUGUGAAGCAGAUACUAUUAUUACUCCCUUUUUACAACGGAGGAAGCAGAGGUUCCAAGAGCCCCCCAGACGAGUGAUGUAAGAGCCCCAGAAGGUCGUGUGCCAGGUAGAACUUUAGCUGUUUUGUCUUUGGAUCAGUCCCAGUUGUCUCCUAAGUGAGGACUGAGAACAGCUGGAGCAGCUGGCUUCACAUUGCAAGGGCAGAAACUCAACUCCAACUGACUGAAAGAAAUGAUUGGUACACGUGCCUGAGAAGCGUGGAGAUGGGAGGGCUAGCUUCGGGAAAGAGAUUUGAUUCGGCAACUCACAUACCACCAAAGACUCAGUUUCCUCUGUUCUGCCUCUCACGAUGGUAACUUUGUUUUAAGUCUGUCUCCCUUUGUGGGCCCAGGUGGCCACUUGUGCUCCUGGGGAUUCAGCCUCACAAGUUCACAUCCCACAGGAAUGAGAGAGUCAGCUUCUCCAUUCCUCAAACAGUCCUGGAACUGAGUCUUGUUGGACCUGACUGGCUGGGGGCCAGGGUUGUGGGCCCCUCCUUGGCCAAGCUACAGUGAGCUGCGAUGAUGCCACUGCACAGAGUGGCAACAGAAUGGGGAAACUGAAGCACGGAGUGAGGUUAAGGAAACUGCCCAAGGAAGCACAGCAUUAAGUGGCAGACCUGGGACGGUGCCCAGCAGCAGUGUGGCUCCAGGGGCUGCAGGCUUAACUGCUGUGCCACACCGCCCUCAGAAGUGAAUGUCAAAAGCCUAAAUUUGAGGCCUUUGUGACCUGAGGCCCUGGACAAAGAGGCCUCUCUGCUCUCUCCCUGCGGCUGACCCCGUUUCCUGGGGGACCCAAAACAGCCGAACUCUUCCAAGGCGUGAAGAGCCGAGCAAGGACGGAGAACCAGGACCCAGAGAGAAGAGGUGAGCAGGGCGGAGAGGCCCUGCCUGCUCCCUGCAGAGCUGUGUUUUCCUCGGGCAGGAACACAUGUUCCCGUUACCGGAGUCCGAGGCCUGGGGAGGGCCCCUCUUCCAGGCUGGCCCUGUCCCUACCCCCUGGGGCUGUCAGGAGGCCUGGCACAGGCCCAGUCCUGCCGUCCAUCCACCAGAAAGGCGGCUUCCUGGAAGCUCAUCCCCUCCCUCUCCGCCCCAUCCUAGGCCACUGUGUUCCUGGAAGUUAAAGACACCGGGCCACGGUGCUGACCGCGCCAGCCAGAGCAGGAGACCUUUCUUUGGCUCUCACCACCCACAGGAGAGGAGAACAUAAGGGCUCGGUGCUGCUGGCACAUAGGACUUGAGUGUCACUCCGCUGCUCACUUGCUGUGUGGCCUGGGGCAAGUUACUUGACCUCUCAUGAGCCUCAGUUUCCCCAUUUAUAAAAUGGAGAUACUAAAAGUACCUGAAGGGCUGGCUGUAGCAUUAAAUGCAACAAUGUGGCUGACGCAUUUGGAACCACGUCCUGGCCCCCUAAUGCACUCAAAACAGGGUAGCUGUGGCUGCUAUUAUUAUCCUGCCAUCCUCAUUCUCUUUAGGGGCACUGAGGGCUUGGAGAGAUUUCUGAGCAGGCAUGCGGAUGUCCUGGCUGCUACUAUAGGGAAUGCUUUUCUUAUCAGCACAGACGUCAGAGUCGAGUUAUUAAUACCCAACCAGCCCCUCCAGUUUUGGAUUUAGCAUUCCGAAGAUGAGAUGGAGAGGUGGGGAGAAUGGGGCUGGGAACAGGUGGCCAGGGACGGGGAAGGAGCCGCUGGCCUCCCCCGCAGUGGGAGCAAUCCUUCCCAGCCUCCGCAGGCGGCACUUGGCCCCUUCUCUGGCCAGACACCCUCCACCUGCAGUCUAGGUCUGGGAAGGUGUGAAAUUCCUACAUGAAGUCAAACGCCAGGCUGUCAUCUCCUCAGUCCCCUAUGGGCACAGCACUGUCCUUCCAGGGAUCCGGUGCCCAAGAGAGCAGGGCCCUCCUGGGCCCCCAGAAGGACCAAAUCCAUGCAUGGAAUCGUGGACUCAAUGUUAGAAGGGGCUCAGAGAGCCCCAACCUGGCUUAGUGGUUUGGACUCAGCCUCUGGACUCAGAACUGAGUGGCCAGAAAAAUCUAUAUCCUUCAACAGCCUCAGCUUCCUCAGCUGUUACCUGGGAAUAAUAGUAAUAAGUUUGAACCUUUCACAUAAUAUCAACGUUUUCAUUUGGCUGUUAUACGAAGCACAGGGACCAGCAUGCAGAAAGUGUCCAGCAAUUAGUGUGUGUUGGUGGUCCAGCCUCUCAUCUUACACACGACUUCCACUUUGUUCCUUCCCCAAUGGGUGGUGGCAGACCUUAAGGAACAAAGAUCUUCCAAGAAUUUCCCUUUCCUCCUCCUGAGCUCACAAUUAUACCAAACAAUGCUGUUUUGGUUUUUUAUAUUGAUUUUUAAAAAAUUAAGUCUUUAAUUUUUAGAGCAGCAAAAUUGAGAGGAAGGUACAGAAAUAGACCGUAUACCCCUGGCCCCCACGCAUGCACAGCCUCCUCUGUUACCAACGUCCCCCACCAGAGUGGUACCUUUGUUACACUGGAUGAAGCUAUGUGGACACAUCAUUAUCACCCAGGCCUGUCGUUUACAUUAGUGUUCACCCUUAGUGUUGUACAUUCUUGUUGGACAAAUGUAUAGUGACUUGUAUCCACCAUUAUAGUAUCAUACAAAGUACAUUCACUGCCCUAAAAAUCAUCCUCAGUGCUAUGCCUGUUCAUCCCUUCCUCCCUGGGACCCCUGGCAACCACUAAUUGUUUAUUGUCUUUAUAGUUUUGCCUUUUCUAGAAUG